rnacentral:rRNA from 1 species
CCUGGGAACUGCGUUNUGAACUGGGUAGCUAGAGUAUNUCAGAGGGGGGUAGAAUUCCACGUGUAGCAGUGAAAUGCGUAGAGAUGUGGAGGAAUACCGAUGGCGAAGGCAGCCCCCUGGGAUAAUACUGACGUUCAUGCUCGAAAGCGUGGGUAGCAAACAGGAUUAGAUACCCUGGUAGUCCACGCCCUAAACGAUGUCGAUUAGCUGUUGGGCAGCUUGACUGCUUAGUAGCGUAGCUAACGCGUGAAAUCGACCGCCUGGGGAGUACGGUCGCAAGAUUAAAACUCAAAGGAAUUGACGGGGACCCGCACAAGCGGUGGAUGAUGUGGAUUAAUUCGAUGCAACGCGAAGAACCUUACCUGGUCUUGACAUGUACGGAACCUUCCAGAGACGGAAGGGUGCCUUCGGGAGCCGUAACACAGGUGCUGCAUGGCUGUCGUCAGCUCGUGUCGUGAGAUGUUGGGUUAAGUCCCGCAACGAGCGCAACCCUUGUCAUUAGUUGCCAUCAUUCAGUUGGGCACUCUAAUGAGACUGCCGGUGACAAACCGGAGGAAGGUGGGGAUGACGUCAAGUCCUCAUGGCCCUUAUGACCAGGGCUUCACACGUCAUACAAUGGUCGGUACAAAGGGUAGCCAAGCCGCGAGGCGGAGCCAAUCUCAUAAAACCGAUCGUAGUCCGGAUUGCACUCUGCAACUCGAGUGCAUGAAGUCGGAAUCGCUAGUAAUCGCAGGUCAGCAUACUGCGGUGAAUACGUUCCCGGGUCUUGUACACACCGCCCGUCACACCAUGGGAGUGGGGGAUACCAGAAGUAGGUAGGGUAACCGCAAGGAGC